CAUUAAGAAGCUUAAAUGUUAAGCUAAAGUCUCUUAAACUUUUGAUGAUACCAUUACACAUAUCCUUAAUGA
rnacentral:tRNA from 1 species